ACUUCGGUUCUCGUCCGAGCAUCGAAGUUAAGCAAAGUUGAGCUUGGUCACUACCAAGAUGGUUGACUUCUUGGGAAUACCAGGUGAUGUAAG